rnacentral:rRNA from 1 species
CCUACGGGUGGCAGCAGUAGGGAAUAUUGCUCAAUGGGGGAAACCCUGAAGCAGCAACGCCGCGUGGAGGAUGAAGGUUUUCGGAUUGUAAACUCCUUUUGUCAGAGAAGAUAAUGACGGUAUCUAACGAAUAAGCACCGGCUAACUCCGUGCCAGCAGCCGCGGUAAUACGGAGGGUGCAAGCGUUACUCGGAUUCACUGGGCGGAAAGAGCGCGUAGGCGGGAUAGCAAGUCAGAUGUGAAAUCCUAUGGCUUAACCAUAGGACUGCAUUUGAAACUGUAAUUCUAGAGUAUGGGAGAGGUAGGUGGAAUUCUUGGUGUAGCGGUGAAAUCCGUAGAGAUCAAGAGGAAUACUCGUUGCGAAGGCGACCUGCUAGAACAUAACUGACGCUGAUGCGCGAAAGCGUGGGGAGCAAACAGGAUUAGAUACCCUUGUAGUC